UAUUGCAAUGAUGAUAGAGGUGAAUCCCAGCUCAUUAUGAGACCUUUUGUGGUCUGCAAAUAGACUUUAGCCACAUAUAUCUGAGCCCAGAU